UGGGAAACCUACCUCUUAGCAGGGGAUAACAUUUGGAAACAGAUGCUAAUACCGUAUAACAAUAGCAACCGCAUGGUUGCUACUUAAAAGAUGGUUCUGCUAUCACUAAGAGAUGGUCCCGCGGUGCAUUAGUUAGUUGGUGAGGUAAUGGCUCACCAAGACGAUGAUGCAUAGCCGAGUUGAGAGACUGAUCGGCCACAAUGGGACUGAGACACGGCCCAUACUCCUACGGGAGGCAGCAGUAGGGAAUCUUCCACAAUGGGCGAAAGCCUGAUGGAGCAACGCCGCGUGUGUGAUGAAGGGUUUCGGCUCGUAAAACACUGUUGUAAGAGAAGAAUGACAUUGAGAUUAACUGUUCAAUGUGUGACGGUAUCUUACCAGAAAGGAACGGCUAAAUACGUGCCAGCAGCCGCGGUAAUACGUAUGUUCCAAGCGUUAUCCGGAUUUAUUGGGCGUAAAGCGAGCGCAGACGGUUAUUUAAGUCUGAAGUGAAAGCCCUCAGCUCAACUGAGGAAUUGCUUUGGAAACUGGAUGACUUGAGUGCAGUAGAGGAAAGUGGAACUCCAUGUGUAGCGGUGAAAUGCGUAGAUAUAUGGAAGAACACCAGUGGCGAAGGCGGCUUUCUGGACUGUAACUGACGUUGAGGCUCGAAAGUGUGGGUGGCAAACAGGAUUAGAUACCCUGGUAGUCCACACCGUAAACGAUGAGUGCUAGGUGUUUGAGGGUUUCCGCCCUUAAGUGCCGCAGCUAACGCAUUAAGCACUCCGCCUGGGGAGUACGACCGCAAGGUUGAAACUCAAAGGAAUUGACGGGGACCCGCACAAGCGGUGGAGCAUGUGGUUUAAAUUCGAAGCAACGCG
rnacentral:rRNA from 1 species